CCCCUCUCAGGGUCACACCUGGAGAGUUUCCAGUACUCUACCAGCCUCGACUAGAGGAAGAAAAGUCAAGCAGAGGUGUAUCCAUUCCAUUCCUAGCUUGGGCAGUGGCUAGCAAAUGGAAGACGAUUUGCCAUGAGU
rnacentral:snoRNA from 1 species